UCUGGCACAGUCAUGACACAGAGGGUAUCUGUGUUUUAUAAUCCUGUCCUAUCAUGUGACAAAGUUAAUAGUCACUGGUUACUGCAGCUACUGUUACACACUUUUAAUUAACUGAGGAAACUGAGCAAAUCGAAACAGUCAAAAGUAGUUUAAAAUAUUGUACAGUUAUCUACUUCUCUUUUGCUAUAAUCACUGUUACUAAGAAGACUACAAUUUCCAUAGCUAAUCAUAUAGCAGAAUUGGGGGAUAAAACAAACAGUUAAGUUUUGCCAUCUGUCUUUUGAAGGUAGUUACAAAGCAUUUUCAUGCACAAUAGUAACAAUAAAUUUAUCAGAUAGGCACAGAUUUUUUACAGUUUGAUAUAUUCUUUUUAUAACUUUUGUGUGGCAGCCUUUUCAUACUCAACCAAGGGAUUUUUUUUCUAAUAAAGCACUGCAUCCAAAUCCUGAAAGAAGCUGAAUCAUUUCAGAAGGCAAUGCAGUUAUUUUUCAUGUCCCUGCCUCAUUUCAAGUGAAUAUUUUAGAAACCACUAGGGCCGCAUCUUUCUUUGUCAUGUUAAUCUUGGUUAUGAAUCUGAUUUGCAUAUAGGUUUGGAUUGUCAACUACUCUGUUAGCACUUUAUUAAUGUAUUUACAUUCCUUUUAUAUAAAAGAGAAAAUCAAAAACAGCAAAAGUGCAUUAUCUUUUUAGUCACAGGAUAAUAUUUUAAAACCAGAUUAGUGUUUUUAAUCCCAAUGGAAAUCAGAAGUGAGGCAAAAUGAAGUUCUUGGCCAUCAGUGUGCCAAACAGGGCAAUGUAAGCCUCUCUGCUCAGCAAGCUUUCCUUCCUCCUUCAGUUUUAUUAAAUUCUCUGGGCCCAUGGGUCUAUGGAUAGUGUAAUUAAAUUCAGAUAAGAAAAAACACAGUAUUUUACACGCAUCCAUUCACUUCACCUUUUAAUGUGUAAUUCUCUCUGCAAAGUGAGAGGAAGCCCUGAACCAUGAUGACCUCAUCUGAUGGAGGCUGAUUUCCAAUGGCAUUUGGUGAGGUGGGCGAUCCUAGAGAGGUGCCCCCUCAACACCCGCUGAAAGACUAACCUUCAUCAGGAGAAGAAAGGCACAUUUUCAGAGCUUCUCCAGUCCUCAGAGACUGCUGACCUGGAGAAUAGGCCAGCAUGGAGGGACCUCAUGCUGGAGACAAGGUUGAGUGACCAGGAUUGGAAGGACCACAUGCUGAUGGAAAGGCAGAAGGACGCAAGUGCACUGAGAUGUGCACGAAGACAUUAUGCAGCUCUUCAAGCAAUACAAAUAGAUUUUGCAUAGUAUUAUGGAGCAAAGUGCCCCAAACCUCCUCCCAGCAGCCAUUGCGCUUCAUUGACUAUUCAGUGUUCACAGGAACGUACAGCACUCCUCUCUCCCUCAAGGGGACAUUUUGGAAAACUGGGACUCUGAUUUCUCCCCACCUCUGUACACAUUGGCUGCCCCCUGCUGU